UUCCGUUCUGCGAUUUGUCUAUUUAUCCAGUGUUUGCCUGUUUUACAGAAAACCCCUUGUGCUACAUGCAUAUAAUAACUCACAAUUGGUGCAUCGGUUUAAAAUGAAUUAUACAUGAAAGUUGCUUAGAAUUUUGUGUAGAUUAAUAAUAUCCAACUUUCAUCUAUGUUUAAAAUGCUUAAAAUGUUGUUUGGUUAAAUUUGCUCCUAUGCCAUGUUAAAAUGAUUUAAUUCAUAACUAAUUAACCGUAGCUCCGAAUCUAACAAACUUUAUAUGUAAAUGGGGUAGAAUUUUGCCUAGUUUAACUUGGUGGCAUCAUCUUGCAUGUUUAAUAACUAUAAAAUAUGGUUUAGGGCAGAACAGUAACAAACCUUAAAUAGGCAUAUGGGGAUUUACCGGAUUCGUUAUUUGUUAUAUCCGGCCCCAUUUAAAUUGUUUAGAUGAUGUAGUUUUGUUAUGCCUCACCUCUUGCCAUGUUUAACAACAUUUAAUAUUGUUGGGUACCUAACCGAGAUCGAUCUAAAUAACUUGAAUGUGGUGUUUCAUCAAUGUGCAACGGAGUUGCAUAUUGAGCUCCAUUUAAUUUGUAGGAUUGCUUGUGCACUUUGCCAUGCCAUGCCUCAUUAAACCGGACAUGCAUCAUACUUGUUUGCGCAUCAUGCCAUGACUAUGUGGUGGUUGUUUACUAUGUUGUGUGCUUUUUCCGGUGUUUGCUUCUUCGGGUUGGUUCCGGUAACAUCGCGUUUGUGAGGAACCGUUCGACUACGUCAGUUGGUCUUCUUCAUGGACUCGUUCUUCUUCCUUGCGGGAUUUCAGGCAAGAUGAUCAUACCCUCGAAAUCACUACUAUCUUUGCUUUGCUAGAUGCUCGCUCUUUUGCUAUGCCAAUGCUACGAUGUCUUCCACUUGCUUUCAAGCCUCCCAAAUUGCCAUGUCAAACCUCUAACCCACCAUGUCCUAGCAAACCGUUGAUUGGCUAUGUUACCGCUUUGCUCAGCCCCUCUUAUAGCGUUGCUAGUUGCAGGUGAAGAUUGGAGACCGUUCCUUGUUGGAACAUUUAUAUACUUGUUGGGAUAUCAUUAUAUUGUCAUGUUAUCUUAAUGCAUCUAUAUACUUGGUAAAGGGUGGAAGGCUCGGCCUCUCGCCUAGUGUUUUGUUCCACUCUUGCCGCCCUAGUUUCCGUCAUAUCGGUGUUAUGUUCCCGAAUUUUUGCGUUCCUUACGCGGUUGGGUUAUAAUGGGAACCCCUUGAUAGUUCGCCUUGAUUAAAGCUUUUCCAGCAAUGCCCAACAUUGGUUUUACCAUUCGCCACCUAGCCUCUUUUUCCCUUGGGUUUCGCGGACUCAAGGGUCAUCAUUAUUUUUACCCCCCCGGGGCCAAUGCUCCUCUGAGUGUUGGUCCACCUGUCAGCUGCCGGUGGCCACCAGGGGCAACUCUGGGCUGGCCUACCCGUACCUAAGACAAUCUGAGUGUGCCCUGAGAAAGAGAUAUGUGCAGCUCCUAUCGGGAUUUGUCGGCACAUUCGGGCGGUGUUGCUGGUCUUAUUUUAACCCGUCGAAGUGUCUUGAAGAACCGAGGUACCGAGUCUGAUCGGAACGUCUCGGGAGGAGGUCUAUUCCUUUGUUGACCAUGAGAGCUUGUCAUGGGCUAAGCUGGGACUCCCUGCAGGGAUUUGAACUUUCGAAAGCCAUUCCAGCGGUUAUGGGCAGAUGGGAAUUUGUUAAUGUCCGGUUGUAGAUAACUUGAACCUUAACUUUUAAAAUGAAUCAACAGCGUGUGUAACCGUGAUGGUCUCUUUCCGGCGGAGUCCGGGAAGUGAACACGGUUGUUGGAGUUAUGCUUGACGUAGGUUGCUAUAGGAUCACUUCUUGAUCAUACUUUUAUCGACCGUGCUUUGCCUUCUCUUCUCGCUCUCAUUUGCGUAUGUUAGCCACCAUAUAUGCUAGUCGCUUGCUGCAGCUCCACCUCAUACCUUUUACCUUACCCAUAAGCUUAAAUAGUCUUGAUCACGAGGGUGCGAGAUUGCUGAGUCCCUGUGGCUCACAGAUACUUCCAAAACCAGUUUGCAGGUGCCGAUGUUACAGAGCAGGUGUCGCAACCAAGCUCAAGAAGGAGCUCGGUGAAGAUCUUGUCCUUUGUGUUGUUUCGUUCUAGUUGUUCAGUAGUGGAGCCCAGUUGGGGUCGAUCGAGGACCUUUGUCGCAUUUGGGGUUCUUCUUUUAUUUUGGUUCCGUAGUCGGACCUUGAUUGUAUUUGGAUGAUGUAAUGCUUUAUUCAUGUAUUGUGUGGAGUGGCGAUUAUAAGCCAACCAUGUAUCUUUUUCCCUUAUGUAUUACAUGGGUUGUGUGAAGAUUACCUCUCUUGCAACAUUGCUUUCAAUGUGGUUAUGCCUCUAAGUUGUGCUUCGACACGUGGGAGAUAUAGCCGCAUCGAGGGCAUUACAAAAAACUCUU
rnacentral:lncRNA from 1 species